GACGAACGCUGGCGGCGUGCCUAACACAUGCAAGUCGAACGAGGUCCAGGGAAGCUUGCUUCCUGAAGACCUAGUGGCGAACGGGUGAGUAACACGUGAGAAACCUGCCUCGGAGUGGGGAAUAACUCGGGGAAACUCGAGCUAAUACCGCAUACCUUCACAUGAUCGCAUGGUCGAGUGAAGAAAGAAUUUCGCUCUGAGAGGGUCUCGCGGCCUAUCAGCUUGUUGGUGGGGUAACGGCCUACCAAGGCAACGACGGGUAGCUGGUUUGAGAGAACGAUCAGCCACACUGGGACUGAGACACGGCCCAGACUCCUACGGGAGGCAGCAGUGGGGAAUCUUGCGCAAUGGGCGAAAGCCUGACGCAGCAACGCCGCGUGCGGGAUGACGGCCUUCGUGGUUGUAAACCGCUUUCAGCAGGGACGAAAAUGACGGUACCUGCAGAAGAAGCCCCGGCUAACUACGUGCCAGCAGCCGCGGUAAU
rnacentral:rRNA from 1 species